UGUUGAGGUGCACAUUCUUCUUGCAAUCUUCAUUAUAUGGUGUUAGUUCAUACUUUUGACACAAAAUGUAUAGCCCAAGUCAUUCUUCUGAAUUCUGGUGAGGUAAAUGAGGGAUUUGAGGAGGAAGCUCACUAGGAAUCUUAUGUGUUUAUUAACUUAAAUGCCUUUAGCGUUACUUUGACAUUGUAGUUGGUUAGAUAAUAUUUUGAGAUGAAUGUAAUUUUGAUUAGGACAAUACUGGAGAUAUGUAGUUAUGGACAUUAUGACUCUUGGAAACCCAUAACUGGUUGUAUGU